GAUGAACGCUGGCGGCGUGCCUAAUACAUGCAAGUCGAGCGAACAGAUGAGGAGCUUGCUCCUCUGACGUUAGCGGCGGACGGGUGAGUAACACGUGGAUAACCUACCUAUAAGACUGGGAUAACUUCGGGAAACCGGAGCUAAUACCGGAUAAUAUAUUGAACCGCAUGGUGCAAUAGUGAAAGACGGUUUUGCUGUCACUUAUAGAUGGAUCCGCGCCGCAUUAGCUAGUUGGUAAGGUAACGGCUUACCAAGGCAACGAUGCGUAGCCGACCUGAGAGGGUGAUCGGCCACACUGGGACUGGGCCACGGUCCAGACUCCUACGGGAGGCAGCAGUAGGGAAUCUUCCGCAAUGGGCGAAAGCCUGACGGAGCAACGCCGCGUGAGUGAUGAAGGUCUUCGGAUCGUAAAACUCUGUUAUUAGGGAAGAACAAAUGUGUAAGUAACUAUGCACGUCUUGACGGUACCUAAUCAGAAAGCCACGGCUAACUACGUG
rnacentral:rRNA from 1 species